rnacentral:lncRNA from 1 species
UUUAAAGGGACACUAUAGUCACCUGAACAACUUUAGCUUAAUGAAGCAGUUUUGGUGUAUAGAACAUGCCCCUGCAGCCUCACUGCUCAAUCCUCUGCCAUUUAGGAGUUGAAUCCCUUUGUUUAUGAACCCUAGUCACACCUCCCUGCAUGUGACUUGCACAGCCUUCCAUAAACACUUCCUGUAAAGAGAGCCCUAUUUAGGCUUUCUUUAUUGCAAGUUCUGUUUAAUUAAGAUUUUCUUAGCCCCUGCUAUAUUAAUAGCUUGCUAGACCCUGCAAGAGCCUCCUGUAUGUGAUUAAAGUUCAAUUUAGAGAUUGAGAUACAAUUAUUUAAGGUAAAUUACAUCUGUUUGAAAGUGAAACCAG